rnacentral:misc_RNA from 1 species
GGGAUUAUAACCCAUGACGAAUUCACUGGACCAAAACAUGAUGAACUUUGAUAUUCUUAAAUUCUAUCUUUAAGUCAUAAUCCCCCUACCCAUCCAUUUCCAUACCAAAUUCAUCCCAACUUUUUUUUUUGUUUAAGUUUAGAGAAUUGAUUUUUAAAAUUUUUGCAUAUAUUAUUGCUUAUUUUUUUAAUUCAAAGUACAUGUUUUAUCGUAUUUGAUAAGAAUCAUGCAUUCCAUUUGAUCGAAUUAUAACGAAACAUAUAGCAUAUACAUGAAUCAUGAAAAUAUAUACAUUAAUUUGGAGGAUAUUAUUCAUUCUAUUUAUGAAGGCAUUUAGUGGUAUGUAAGUUGUAAGAUUAGAAUGAUAAACCGGCAUGUGUAUUACAAAUGUAUUUUUGAUAGAAAUGUACUUUUUAUUAUUAAAAGUACUCUUGCAUGAUGAUAAGAAUUACAAUAAAAGAGAAAUUUC